CAGUCGACCUGUUGUGUUGGAUGCCUUGAAGCGUAAUUCCUAUCGGGCGAUGGGUAGAAUCCUUUGUAGAUGACUUAAAUACACAAAGGGGUAUUGUAAGUGGUAGAGUGGCCUUGCUGCCAUGAUCCACUGAGAUUCAGCCCCGUGUCGAAUCGAUUCGUC